UGUCUUGUAAUUGGAAUGAUGGGAAUUUAAACCUCUUCCAGAGUAUCAAUUGGAGGGCAAGUCUGGUGCCAGCAGCCGCGGUAAUUCCAGCUCCAAUAGCGUAUAUUAAAAUUGUUGCAGUUAAAAAGCUCGUAGUUGAAUUUCUGCUGCAUUGCUUUUGCUCCUUUACGAGUCUUUGCAUUGUGGCUUAUUUCGGACUUUGUUUUACAAUGUCCGGAUGUUUACUUUGAGAAAAUUAGAGUGCUCAAAGCAGGCUUUCGCCUUGAAUAGUUUAGCAUGGAAUAAUAAAGUAGGACUUUGGUUCUAUUUUGUUGGUUUUAGGUACCAAAGUAAUGGUUAAUAGGAACAGUUGGGGGCAUUCGUAUUUAACUGUCAGAGGUGAAAUUCUUAGAUUUGUUAAAGACGAACUACUGCGAAAGCAUUUGCCAAGGAUGUUUUCAUUAAUCAAGAACGAAAGUUAGGGGAUCGAAGACGAUCAGAUACCGUCGUAGUCCUAACCAUAAACUAUGCCGACUAGAGAUUGGAGGUCGUCAGUUUUUACGACUCCUUCAGCACCUUGAGAGAAAUCAA
rnacentral:rRNA from 1 species